GGCCUAAUAGCUCAGUGGUAGAGCGAUAGUUUCACUGCCUUUUACAGACAACACUACAGGUCCACGGUUCGAACCCGUGUUGGGUCA